UUUUUUUUUUUUUUUUUCGCUUUGCUUUUUAUUGUGUUGGACCAGGUGAGUUGAGAUUUGUUUCUUGUUUGCAUGCAUGGAUGAAGGACGACAAUUAUUCCUGAUAGUUAGUCUUGCUGUAAUUGCACCUUCUGUUGCUGCCAUUUCUUUGCUUUAAUGCAUUUGCUGCUUGGGUUUGGCAUAGCAAUCGUGGUUAUUGCUCAGUGUAACCUUGCGAUAUGGCUAUUUGUUCUUGUUUGGCUAAGAUUUAGCGACAAUUGCUCUUUUUCUUGUUAAUGGAGUGCAUCAAUAUAACCGUAAUAGUUAAAUGCUAGGUUUUGCUUUUCCUUUCCUUUCCUUUCUCUGUGGUGUAGAUUAAUGCUCUGAGAAAAUUGCUACCUAACAAACCAGAAAUACAUCACAUAUGCCUCCUCCUAAAGACAAAUAAUCAACACGUGAAAUACAAGCAGUAAUCCUACUCGCAUAAAUUAGAAGCCACGUACUGUCGAGACGCGCAAACAACACCCAGCUGACUACAACCAUGUUAUUUUUCAUUUUGUACAUCAAUACGAUCAUAUUCGGUUCGCAUUUACAUUCUUCAGCAUUUUUGUCUAGCUUUGCUAGAGCCAAUACAAUUCCAUCUGGACUUGACUCUGCAUUUAUUUUCAUCUAUUUCCGCUUUGCUUCUUUGCUUUCAUUUCUGAAGAUUUUUGUAAUAACUUGCUAAAAAAUUGCAAGCAAGAAAUAUUGACUGUUUUUGGACAAGACUGAAAUUGAAACAAAUGCUUGUGACAUGCUAAAUACUGGAUUCAAUGAAAAUAGCAAUAGAACGUAAGGGGUUGAUCAAUAUGUUAACUUGGUCUUCAAAAAAAGUUGGUGCAAUGUUGAAGACUAGUGUGUUGAAUCUUCUGAAAAUUUUCAUGGGAAUCUGUAAGACUCAAAAGCUACCACAAUAAUCUCUAAUUUGCGAAUUUUAAACACGGCAGUCAGCUACAACAUCAAUAUUUCAAGUUCAUACGCAUUCAUUUAAAAACAGACUGAAAAAAGUGAAUCCGCAACUUUACGAUAAAAUAACCAAACAAGUUUAGGGGAGGGAGCGUAAACGAGAGAUUUCAGAUUCCAACCCUUUCACUUACACUUAAGAAAAAAAACACAGUUAGUCAUAACCAAGUUCUUAUACCCUCUAAGACUUGAUGUUUUCAACCUUAGUAGGAACACAAAAUCAUGUAUCUAUAAAAGCAUAAUUGCAACCACCAAAAGAUCGUCAAGAAAAGUUGAAGGACUCAGAUUAGGACAUCAGACCUGUACAGAACAACUAUGAUGCCAUUCAUUGCUCCCUGCUCUGAAUCGCACAGAUUUGUGAUGGCCAAUCUGCCCAAUCUUUAAUCACAAAAACUGAAGCCACAAUUUGAUUUCCAGAUAUUUGGCAUUGAGGUGCAAAGAAGAGCAAUUCAAGGACACGGCCAACGUUGAAAAGUCCUAAGUUCAAUAUACUCCAUACUAAUUCCUCCCAAUUGCAACAAAAAUCUUUGCACCAAAAUAAAAAAAAAUCCUUUAUUUCAUUUUUAGGUUUAAGUACAAAAGAUGAGAUCAUGAAUCUAUUUAAAAAAAAGCAUUCAUGCUUCAAACAUAUGAUCUUUUAAUAAUUCAUAUGAUCUUUUGUUACAUUGAUAAAACUUCCACCAAAUGGAUAACAAUACAAUUUGCAUCAAGUGGAUAUACCGCAACAAUAAGUAUUCCAGCAGAAGGGAACAUAUACCUCCCUCUUUGAAUAAGCAUUCUACAGAUAUGCCGCAACAAUAAGUAUUCCAGCAGAAGGGAACAUAUACCUCCCUCUUUGAAUAAGCAUUCUAGUAGAAGUGAACAUAUAUUUCUCCCCUUUGAGGUUAUUCAAUUUGCCAAAUCCAAAGCAGCCAACUCCUUUUCCGAAUUAAAACAACAAACACGAACCAAACACAAUUAUUUUUUGCACAAGCCAUCUCAAAUUUUCAAUUUCUUGCAGACAACUUCCUCUCACACACUAGCCGCGCUUUCUUUCAUUCGAACCUAAUCUUAAAAUUUUUAGCCUCUUUCAUUUGUUGGUAGAUUUUCAAAUUAUAUAUACUUCUCAACUACACAUCACAUUACUUUUCAUUUCUUAAUGAUUUGUAUUUCUUGUUGAAUUAUUGCAAGCCUUCCAACAAUAUCCAUAACUAUUCAAAAAUGUCAUUCUUUCCAUUUGUCCACCGAUCUCCAAAAUAUAUCAAUAGGAAGAUAUAACUCCUAAUUAAAUGUUAAGAGGCAGAAACAAUUAAUUCCAUAUUUUUAUACACAGAAACCGUGGCCGAAUAUAUCAUCUUCGACUUGCAUUGCUCAUCAAGACACCAAAAUUCAUCGAUAACUUCAAAAUCAAACCUAAAUUUCUGCAAAGACAAGGCCGUACCAGUAGCACUAUCGAACAGAACCAUCUUCGCUGAAAAUAUAUGAGGCCGGUCAAAUGUACCUCGCCUUCUACAAUUGAAAAGGCCACCGCCGCACCGCUUCUGUGAUGUUAGAGUUGGAAUCUCCCAUAGGGAUAUAAAGACUUGAGCAGAAUCUAGGGUUAGAUGACGAUUUAGCAAAUGGACUAUUCUACCCUACACCGUCGAAUCUAAAGCACUUUAAUAGCUAAAGGCUACUUUAAAUUUGGACUUGGGAAAAUUGCUAAUUUAAUCCCUAAACUUUUUCACUUAAAUCAAUUUCGUCAUUUAUGGUUUUUUUUCACCAAUUUAGUUCUCAAACAAUUUUAUUUUCACCAAUUUAAUUCUUAAAUAAUUUUAUCAAGUUCAAUGUAGGACUUAUUGGGCGGCAUCACCACAUUUUAUGUAUUUUGCACAACUGGUCAAGGGUAUAAUUGGAAUGACAAGUUUGACCGUCUAAUUGUAGCGAUUAUAAUAGAGACUUUUAGGCAAUCAAGGACAAAAACCUCCGAAAAUUUAGAGAGGAGAGCACUAAAGAGAAACCAGACCAAGGUCUGCAAAAAGUCAGCCACUGCCCGUGAGUUGUACACUUUACUCUUCUACUAUAGUAUAGUAAGUUGUCUGCAUUUGUCACUAGGAUUUUACCAGGCAGAGCCAAUGGAACCAGAGCUUUUCCACAUACUCUUAGUGCUAUAACAUGGUUCCGUAUUUCAGUGUUUCACUACUUCUCUAAUGCGGCCCAAAGUACAGCACUAAAGAGCAAGAUAUAUAAAAGAUUAACUCCCGAGUCCCCGGUGUCACUCCAUCACAGUGUAUAUCCAAAUCCAAGGACAUAGAUGCCUUGUCCCUGUCACUGCUGCUGUUGUUGUUGUUGGAGGGCAUUGUGUGGAGCGGUGGAUGGCUAGCAUGAUUGUCUGGCCUCAACUGCGGAGGACACGUUCAAAAAGAAGAAAAAAGCGAAGGUGGAGGUGGAGAUGAACACAAAUGGGGAAAUUGUUAUGGCAUUGUAGGAUGAUCAACUGCGGUGGAAGGUAAUUCAAGUAUGUCACAGUUAGCAUCCUCCUAAUCCUCCGACAACAACUCCGAGAUGGGGCAAUCCAUGUUAACUCCAAAUAGCCUCAGCCGCUUUGCUGUGGCCUUUCCUUGGACCCGUGGCACCGACUCAAACACUAUUGGCUCCUGCCUCCCUACCUCCUCUACCAUCACCUCCUCUGGGUUCAGCCCAACGCUGCCUCCUCCUUCUCCUCCUUCUCCUCCUUUCUGUACCAGUUGCACCGUUCCGAUUCCCAAAUGAACCGGUAGUGGCCCUGUAGCCGCAGCGGAUCUGAGAUAAAUGAACGGGCUGGGACAACCAUUAUUACAUUGCCGUAGGCAUAGUUGUUGCUUAGAUGAUGAGGAUAAGAUGGAUGGGGAUUGUUGUUAAUACCAACACCAGUAGCAGCAAUAUUUAGUUGUAGCAACUGGGAAUGGUCCCUGGGGGUUUGCUGCCGCUGAUGAUGCUGCAAGUAGAAAAAAUGGUUCCAAGGAUGGGGGAAAGAAUAUUGAUGAUGUGGAAGUGGCUGCGAAAAACUAGUAAUGGACAUGGAAGGAGGCAACUGGGGGUGGUCGGGAGCAUCGGGUCGGCACCUCCAAUCAAUGAACAAUUGAUCCUUAUCCAGCUCACUCGCGCCGCGCUCAAAGGAGAUGAUGUCCCCGGCAUCGAGCUUCUUUUUUUGACGAAACGGCUCCAGCCUUUCUUAAAUUUUGAUGCUUAUGAAACCCUAUUUCUCUCUCAAUUUUCAGAGGUUUUUGUUCUUAAUCGUCUAAAAAUCUCUGUUAUAAUCCCCAUAAUUAGACAGUGAACCUGUCAUUCCAAUUAUAUCCUUGACCCACCGUGCGAAAUACAUAAAAUGUGGUGACGCUGCCCUAUAAGUCCUACAUUGAACUUGAUAAAAUUGUUUGAGGACUAAAUUGGUGAAAAAAAAUCGUAAAGUACGAAAUUGAUUUAAGUGGAAAAGUUUAGGAAUCAAAUUGGCGAUUUUCCCUUUGGACUUUGGACAAGUUGCUAAAAUGGGUCAUUGGAAUUUGCGAGAUUCCCAUCUGUUCUCAAGUUAUGAAUACUUAUGAUGUAAAGAAAUUGAAAUGAGCCUCUCGAUAGUGAAACACAUUUAUUUUCUUUUCUUUUCUUUAUUAGUAUCAAAUACUUCAGUGUUUAAACUUGUUUGAUUAUUUUAAUGAGUUUGAAAUUUUGUUUAAACUUGAAUUAUUUAUUUACCGAAUUCAGUUUGAACGACCUUUUAUCGAGUUUGAAUAUUAUCGAAUAUAAAACACUAUUUAAGUUUAACUCGAUUACUUCGCGAACCAAACUCGAAUGAACUUUUACCAUAUCAAAUUCGAUUCAAGUAUCAAAUAGGUUGAUUCAUCUUUUAACUCUACCAUAUCUAGGAAGCAUUCAGGCUCCAUUUGAUCUAAUGUAAAAGGUUUGUAUAGAAUUUUUUCUGGGAGAAAAUGAAUUACAUGAGGUUAUUUCUUAAGGGAUUCUCAAAAUUUCAGAUUAUAAUGCCAUUUUAAACGUAAUGAUGUUAUGUAUGGUUAUCUAAAAUAUGAAUAAAUAAAUGAAAAGAUGGAACGAAAGUGAGGGGAGAUGAUUGAAAUCCUUUACUAAUCACCCUUUAUUUUUCUUGGCCGAGAUCUCACAUGGAAAUUGCAGAAAAAGUCAUGAAAUCAUAGGAAAAAUAUGCAAGUCUAGAAAAUAAAAAGAGUACACUCCGACAAGAUUUCAAUUGGCAAUAUACAAUGCAAAAAGAGAAGGAAAAAUGAGAAGGUUUGACAACCAAUUAGGGAUCAUAUUGUUACCUAACUAAUAUUAUCUGUACUUGUUAAAUUCGAUCUAAGGGACAAUACUUGCCCAAGUAAUCUUACAUAUAAAAAGAGGGAGUUUAGUUUAGGGACAGUGGUUUUGGUCCCCUAUGGACCCCUUGAGUGGGUGGACAAUUUUGUGAAUUCAAUUGUGUAAGCUAUUGGACAAGGUUAGUUCAACUCUAAUAAUGUGAGACAUAAUAUGGUCCUGAUAUUUUUUUGUGACUAUGUUAACCUUACAAGUCAAUUAUACCUUUUGUUUUUUCUAUACUUUAUACUGAUUAGGAUGAUAUUGAGUGGGUGGACAAUUUUGUGAAUUUAAUUGUGUAUGCUAUUGGUCAAGGUUAGUUUCAACUCAGAUCAUGUGAGACAGAAUAUGGUCCAAAUAUUUUUUGUGACUAUGUUAACCUUUUAAGUCAAUUAUACCUUUAGUUUCUUCUAUAAUCUGUAUUGAUUGGGAUGAUAUUUGAGUCUUUGAUAAUUAUAUACUAAGUUGAAUCUAGGCCCUUUUUCUAGUACAUGUUAUCCAAGUUGGCUGCCCAUAGUUAUGCUAGUGGGCCAAAAUUUGGUGAGACUCGAUUUUCAAAAAUUCAAUAGUUUAAAUUGUGCCACACCAUUUUUUUUUUUUGGAGAGUUGGCGAGCUUUAUAUAAUGAAAUAAGAAUUUACACUCUAACCGUCAACUUUCCCUUCUUAUCUUCCUCUAUAAUUCUAAGAAGAUCAGGGGGAAAAUUUAACUCAAAAAUAACUUUAUUUACCCUAUUGAGAUAACUAGCCAUAAAGUCAACAGCUUGAUUGCAUUGGCGAUAUACAAAAUAUAUAGUCACCUCCUUGAAGCAUGAGAUUAAAUCCUUUAUAUCAGAAUAUGCAACUAGAGCCCUCCACGGAUAGUCAAUUUUGCUAUUUAAGAUAUCUGCAGCAAGUUUUGAAUCAGUGCGGACCCCAAUACGUUGGUGCGCCACACCACUUUACCAAGUAGUGUGGCACAAUUUGAACCAUUGAGUUUUUGAAAAUCGGGUCUAUCCAAGUAUGAACCCAUACAACGCACUUUUACCUUCAUCUUGUUAUUAUUUAGUUCUCCCAAGAAAAACUUAUUCUCUUAACUCAAAUCUCUCUAAAUACAUAACCAAUUAAUAAAUGCAUAAAAGCUCCAAGUUUCAAGUUAAUUUUCCUCAAUCCUUUGGAUUUGAACCUCCAAUGGUGUGCCUGUUUUUGGAGUGCUUUUCAAAAACUAGUUUUCAAAUACAAUAAAAUUUUUUUAAAAAGUACUCUAAAAGAUAAUCUAAAAAUUAGUUUAAAUUUUUUAAAAUUUUAAAAAAAUAUCUCAAUAUAUAUUCUAGAAACUCUUCUACUCUUAAAUAUCCCAAAAUAUUUUCUAAAAAUAUUCCAAAAUAUACUUUAAAAACUCUGCUACAGCAAAGUUUUUCAAAAACACCCCAAAAAAUAGCUAAUCCAAAUGGAGCAAUUUUUUACAACUGUUUAAUAGUUGCAUGAAGUAAUAUAGAUGGUUGAAUUGAUUUUUUUUUUUGUAUUAAAUUAAAAGCUUGGUAUAGAAAAGUCAGUGCUUUAAAUAUCUUAGUGAUUAAUUAUAAAAAACUGGAUCUUAUUGUUAGUUACAUGUAUAAAUUGAACUUGUAUUCCUUAGUUUCCCAAAAAAAGGGACUUAUACUCUUUAGAAUAGCUGCUUAAGUGCAAUAAUUUAGUUACAUAAACUUUACUAUUUAAUGUGUAGCUUUGUUUGAUUGAUGAAUAGAUUUAAUACUUGAAGUUGCACUACUUUAAUAUUGUAAUAUUGCUAAAUCAAUGAUCAUUAAUCUUAAUUGCUUUCAAUUCAAAAUUAAAUUACAUUAAUCGAAAUGGGAUAUGCACGAUUUUGGUGUAUGUUUGUAUAUCGCUAAAAAGCUUCAGCUUAUUCAAGUCAAUUUCAUCGUCAAAUUUCUCUUUUCAAUGUUCCAUAGGUUUCUCAACUAUGAGAUUGCAUCGCCUAGAUAGUUGCAACUUGCAAUCUGUAAUGUGUUAGAAGUAAGUAUCUUACACUCAAAUAAACCCUCCAAUUUACCCUCAAAUAAACCCUCCAACUAGUAAGUAAAUUAGCUGCCAAAAUAAGAAAAUUUCAAAUUAGUCAUUUGCUAAUUGCUUCUUCCUAUUUGGUUUGCUAAUAAAUCAGUUUUGUUUGGGUGAUAACUGCUACUGAAAUAUGAGAUGCCAUUUUAAUUAUUCUUGGUGGCUAGGUUCAAUACCUUGAUUGUCUAAUUGUUUAGCUUUGGAAUCAUGUCGGUUUUCCAAGUUAUUACUCAAAUAUCGAUACUUUUUCAAAUAGCUCUUGACCAAUGAUGUAAUUAGAGGUGGCAAAAAAGCCCAAAACCCAACAACCCAUCCAACCCGCCCAUUAAUUUUAGAGGAUGGGUUGGGUCAAUUGGGUUAUGAGUUUUAUUGGGUUGGGUAAGAACAACCCAACUUAUUCAUUGGGCGGGUUGGAUUUUUUAUUUCGGUACCCAAUACCCAACUUGUUUAAAAGUAAUUCAAAAUAAUAAAUACAAGAUUUAAUACACAUAUGCCCAACUAUUUACAUUUGGACAUGUGUUAAUAAUUCAUUAAUUAAUUUGUAUUCAAAAUUCUCAUAUAUAUAUAUAUAUAUAUAUAUAUAUUUUCAAUCAUUUUUCUAAUUUUUAUUUAAAAUAAAAAAGAAAAUUAAAAUAAAAACUCAUGCUUAUUUUACUUAAUUUAAAGUUUUCCUAUUUCUUUUAUGAUAAGUGACCUUUUUCUGUUUCUAAUCAUCCAAUCAAACUGCUCAUUUCUUAAGUUUUAGUCCAUUGUUAUCCAUACCAAGAAGAAUGAUAAUAUUAAAAAAAAAAAGCUUUACUCUCAAUCUCUUUCUUUGACCUCAAAAAGAAUCUUUUUUUUCUGUUGAAUUUAGCCAAAAUUUUAUGCAUUUCAUUUCGAGUUCAUCUGAUCUUCAUACAAAGUGUGGUUAUCACUUGGGUGAUUAGUUUCUUUCUUUUUUUUUUUCCCACCCUGAGUGAGGUUAGAACAAAGUUUUGGAAAUAUAGUACCAAGAACCCCUUAAAAGCUUUGCCCCUUAUUCCUUUCUAUUUUCCUAUUAAAAAAAGUACAAAGUAAACAAUUUUUUUAGCUACUCUGUUUAAAUUUAUAAUUUAUUAUCUAAAAUUCACAAUACAAGCAAUAUAAAAUAUUAUUCUAUUUAUGAUGUGUUUCCAAGGAACUUAAGAAGUGAGUGUGUGUUUGUGUGUGUGAAAAUACAUUUAUGUAUGUGAAAAUGUGUUUAUAUAUGUGAAAAAAAAAUUUGUGUGUUAAAAUGUAAGUGAAAAAGUUAUGUAUUAAAAUGUAUUAAUUAAUUUGUUAGGUCAUAUUUGGGUCACAGGUUUGAGAUAAUUCAAUAUAACCCAACCCAAAAUCAACCCAAUCUAAAGUUGGGCGGGUUAGUUAUAACCCAUUUAAGUGAAAACACAAUAUUAACCCGCCCAAUCCGCCCAAUUGCCAGGUAUAGAUGCCAUUGAAAGAAUGCACUUCAUGAAUACAGUUUUAACAAACAAAUCAUUCACUAAGUAUGUUUUUUAGUCUUUGAAAAGAGAUUUUAACACUCACUAUUCGGUAAGUCUUUUCAAAAAUCAUUACUCCUUGAAUAUUUAUUUGGAUUUUCAAUCCCACAUAUGAGUCUUGUGCAUGCAAGUUAAAUUAAGUUUGGAACUAUCUUUUGUUAAAUGUUUGUCCUCCACGCCUUUAGUUUUCAAAACUUCCUGCUAACUCUCAAAUUUGGUACCUUAGUCCACUCUUAUUGCGUGAAUACUCUGUUCCAUUCUUUAUAUGCACAAAUUUUUUUAUAGCUUUCAUUUGGGCAACAUCAUGCAUCGCAUGAUGCCCCAACAAACUAGUAUAUUAUAGUUGAUCAAUAUGGUAGCCCAGUGAUCUUGUGUAAAAUCUGUAAAUACUAAAAGUUUUUUAAGUUAAAACCAUUUUAGAAUUACAGUACGUUCCUUAAGAGUUGGACACAUAUUGGACGAGGAACUCUUGAUUAAGUGGUUAAAAUUGAAGUUUCAAUACUUAAAGGGCUUGGUUUUAAAUCCCAUUUCUCCCCACUUUUUAAAUUCCAUCAAUUUCCUACUAUAGAAAAAAAAAAAAAAGAAUUGAACUCAUGUUGUACUUUAGGCCCUAAUGUAUAACUUUUGUGUCAUUUAAUCAAUUUAACUAUCAGUCAAGUGAAAUCAACUAUUAAGGCAAGUUGUGAAGGGUGGGGAAUAGUCUGCAGGGUUCACUCCCUGCGGGAUACCUAAAAUAUAUAUAUAUAUAUAUAUAUAUAUAUAUAUAUAUAUAUAUAUAUAUAUAUAUCAACUAUUAAGGCAAUUGAAAGGAAUAAUAUAACCCAAAUCAAAGCAUCUCUCCACUGACUAAUAUAACCACAAUUAUAGAUGUAAUUUUCAUGAGUAUAAAAGGGGAAGCUGCUCAAGGAACAGUUAUGGGCUAACCAGAAAACUUGUUCAUCUAACGAAGAUGCAAACAUCAAACUUGGUACUAUAGUGUCUCAGUUAAGUAUUGGUCCAAUUGUUGGAGAUUGUAAUGCAAUUUUACCUCAUUCUUGAUUCUACACAACGUUGAAUCUCCUGCAGAAUUUAUUUCUUGGGGAGUUCGUAAGAUUCAAAUGGCAAAAGCUUCCAAAAUGUUCUCUGAUUUAGGAACUUUUAAACGCACAGUCAAGCUGCAGCACUAACAAUACAAGUUCAUGAUGACUCUGCCUAUAAUGUUGCAAAUGUGAAAAUGCAGAUUCAAUUCCAUUUCAAUACCAUUUUGAUCUUUAAAAGAAAAUUUGCAUCUAUUUUUGAGCCCUUUUUAAUGCUGAUCAAAGGAGAAACUAGUUAGUCGUAACUACCUUUUUAUAGCAUAGUACAAUUGCAAACACCAAAAGAGUUGUAGUUCAACUUCAAGAUGCCUGCAACAUGGAACAAGCGCUCGAGGACUAGCAGAUUUGGACAUGAGAUUCUGUACAAAACACUAUGCUGCCGUUUAUUUUCUCCCUGUUUUCAUGCCUGAAAACAUACUGGCAGGAAAACUAAAUCACGCAAAUUGUCAUUUUGCCCAUUU
rnacentral:lncRNA from 1 species